GACGAACGCUGGCGGCGUGCCUAAUACAUGCAAGUUGAGCGCUGAAGGUUGGUACUUGUACCAACUGGAUGAGCAGCGAACGGGUGAGUAACGCGUGGGGAAUCUGCCUUUGAGCGGGGGACAACAUUUGGAAACGAAUGCCAAUACCGCAUAAAAACUUUAAACACAAGUUUUAAGUUUGAAAGAUGCAAUUGCAUCACUCAAAGAUGAUCCCGCGUUGUAUUAGCUAGUUGGUGAGGUAAAGGCUCACCAAGGCGAUGAUACAUAGCCGACCUGAGAGGGGGAUCGGCCAAAUUGGGACUGAGACAAGGCCAAAACCCCUCCGGGAGGCAGCAGAGGGGAAUCUUCGGCAAAGGAGAAAAGUUUGACCGGGCAACGCCGCGGGAGUGAAGAAGGUUUUCGGAUCGUAAAACUCUGUUGGGAGGGAAGAACGUUGGUGAGAGGGGAAAGCUCAUCAAGUGACGGUAACUACCCAGAAAGGGACGGCUAACUACGU
rnacentral:rRNA from 1 species